CCUACGGGAGGCAGCAGUGGGGGAUAUUGCACAAUGGGGGGAACCCUGAUGCAGCGACGCCGCGUGGGUGAAGGAGCGUUUCGUCGCGUAAAGCCCUAUCGGCAGGGAAGAAGGAGGACGGUACCUGACUAAGAAGCCCCGGCUAACUACGUGCCAGCAGCCGCGGCAAUACGUAGGGGACAAGCGUUAUCCGGAUUUACUGGGGGGAAAGGGGGCGCAGACGGCAGCGCAAGCCAGGAGUGAAAGCCCGGGGCCCAACCCCGGGACUGCUCUUGGAACUGCGCGGCUGGAGUGCAGGAGGGGCAGGCGGAAUUCCUGGUGUAGCGGUGAAAUGCGUAGAUAUCAGGAGGAACACCGGUGGCGAAGGCGGCCUGCCGGACUGCGACUGACGUUGAGGCCCGAAAGCGUGGGGAGCAAACAGGAUUAGAUACCCUGGUAGUC
rnacentral:rRNA from 1 species